UACAGAGGUCUCAAGCGUUGUUCGGAUUCAUUGGGCGUAAAGGGUGCGUAGGCGGCGCGGUAAGUCGGGUGUGAAAUCUCGGAGCUUAACUCCGAAACCGCAUUCGAUACUGCCGUGCUUGAGGACUGGAGAGGAGACUGGAAUUUACGGUGUAGCGGUGAAAUGCGUAGAUAUCGUAAGGAAGACCAGUGGCGAAGGCGGGUCUCUGGACAGUUCCUGACGCUGAGGCACGAAGGCCAGGGGAGCAAACGGG
rnacentral:rRNA from 1 species